rnacentral:rRNA from 1 species
UACGUAGGGGGCAAGCGUUGUCCGGAAUUACUGGGCGUAAAGCGCGCGUAGGUGGUUUGUUAAGUUGGAUGUGAAAGCCCCGGGCUCAACCUGGGAACUGCAUCCAAAACUGGCAAGCUAGAGUACGGUAGAGGGUGGUGGAAUUUCCUGUGUAGCGGUGAAAUGCGUAGAUAUAGGAAGGAACACCAGUGGCGAAGGCGACCACCUGGACUGAUACUGACACUGAGGUGCGAAAGCGUGGGGAGCAAACAGG